rnacentral:lncRNA from 1 species
AAUUAUUUGAAGUAACUUUUGUGUUUGUGUUUGCUCUUGAUUUAAAUACAUCUGUGCCUGAGCCAUUGUUCUACCGUAUGUCAGUUGUAUAGUGCAUGAAAACUGCUCACUUGAUAUUAAAUAUAUUGAGUGUUACUGUAGUAGGCUUUUUUCAGAGAAAUACUUAAAAAAAACGAAUGAAUUUAUUUUACAAAUUCCCUGAAUUUAAUCAGUGAAUCUGUAAAAAAGAUCUUAAUUAUUUCAGGGAUUUUGUAAAAUCACUAGUCAAAAUCAGGGAUUUUAUAAAAUCACUAAUCAGUUCAGUGAUUUUACAAAAUCCCUGAUUUCACAAAUUCCCUGUAACAUAUACAGCU